GCCAGCAUUGUGCAAUGGUUUGAGCAUUAGACUACGAUUUUGAAGACCAAGGUUCAAAUCCCUGCUGGAG